rnacentral:rRNA from 1 species
CGAACGCUGGCGGCGUGCUUAACACAUGCAAGUCGAGCGAGGCCCCUCCUUCGGGAGGGUGUCCUAGCGGCGAACGGGUGAGUAACACGUGGGCAACCUGCCCUCAGCUCUGGGAUAACUCCGGGAAACCGGGGCUAAUACCGGAUACGACCUCCACGGGCAUCUGCGGAGGUGGAAAGUUUUUCGGCUGAGGAUGGGCCCGCGGCCUAUCAGCUAGUUGGUGGGGUAGUGGCCCACCAAGGCGACGACGGGUAGCCGGCCUGAGAGGGCGACCGGCCACACUGGGACUGAGACACGGCCCAGACUCCUACGGGAGGCAGCAGUGGGGAAUAUUGCGCAAUGGGCGAAAGCCUGACGCAGCGACGCCGCGUGAGGGACGAAGGCCUUCGGGUUGUAAACCUCUUUCAGCAGGGACGAAGCGAAAGUGACGGUACCUGCAGAAGAAGCACCGGCCAACUACGU